rnacentral:rRNA from 1 species
UUGAUCCUGGCUCAGAAUCAACGCUGGCGGCGUGCCUAACACAUGCAAGUCGAACGAGAAAGUGGAGCAAUCCAUGAGUAAAGUGGCGACCGGGUGAGUUACACGUGACUAACCUACCCUUGAGUGGGGAAUAACCUUCCGAAAGGAGGUCUAAUACCGCAUAAAGUCCAGAGGCUGAAAUGCCAUUGGACCAAAGGAGUAAUUCGCUUAGGGAGGGGGUCGCGGUUGAUUAGCUAGUUGGUGGGGUAAUGGCCUACCAAGGCGAUGAUCAAUAGCCGGCCUGAGAGGGCGCACGGCUAUACUGGAACUGAAACACGGUCCAGACUCCUACGGGAGGCAGCAGUGGGGAUUUUUGCGCAAUGGGGGAAACCCUGACGCAGCAACGCCGCGUGAAGGAUGUAGGUCUUUGGAUUGUAAACUUCUUUCGUCCGGGAAGAUAAUGACGGUACUGGAAUAAGAAGCCCCGGCUAACUUCGUGCCAGCAGCCGCGGUAAUAAGGU